AUGGCAGCAGCACCACCGCCGGCGCUCCCGGACGAUCUCAUCGAAGAGAUCUUCCUCCGCCUCCCGCCGGACGACCCGGCAAGCCUCCUCUGUGCCUCUCUCGUCUGCAAGACCUGGAGCCACAUCGCCAAGGUGAAGCUCAAGCGCGCCCUGCUGCAGGGGCAGCUUAAGCGUGCCCAGCUGCAGCUGCUCAAGAACGCCCAGCUGCAGCUGCAGCUCGAGAAGGAGCAGCUCAAGGUCAUCCAGCUACAGGAGGAGCUCAAUCAGCUGCUGCAGAGGAGGUCAGCCAGCAGCAGCUCAAGCGCGCCAGCUUGGCGUUAG
rnacentral:rRNA from 1 species